rnacentral:rRNA from 1 species
GAUGAACGCUGGCGGCGUGCCUAAUACAUGCAAGUCGAGCGAACGGACGAGAAGCUUGCUUCUCUGAUGUUAGCGGCGGACGGGUGAGUAACACGUGGAUAACCUACCUAUAAGACUGGGAUAACUUCGGGAAACCGGAGCUAAUACCGGAUAAUAUUUUGAACCGCAUGGUUCAAAAGUGAAAGACGGUCUUGCUGUCACUUAUAGAUGGAUCCGCGCUGCAUUAGCUAGUUGGUAAGGUAACGGCUUACCAAGGCAACGAUGCAUAGCCGACAUGAGAGGGUGAUCGGCGACAGUGGAACUGAGACACGGUACAGACUCCUACGGGAGGCAGCAGUAGGGAAUCUUACGCAAUGGGCGAAAGCCUGACGGAGCAACGCCACGUGCGGGAUGAAGGUCUUCGGAUCGUAAAACUCUGUUAUUAGGGAAGAACAUAUGUAUAAGUAACUGUGCACAUCUUGACGGUACCUAAUCAGAAAGCCACGGCUAACUACGUG